rnacentral:rRNA from 1 species
GAUGAACGCUAGCGGGAGGCCUAACACAUGCAAGCCGAGCGGUAUUGUUUCUUCGGCAAUGAGAGAGCGGCGUACGGGUGCGUAACACGUGUGCAACCUGCCUUUAUCUGGGGGAUAGCCUUUCGAAAGGAGGAUUAAUACUCCAUAAUAUAUUGAACGGCAUCGUUUAAUAUUGAAAGCUCCGGCGGCUAGAGAUGGGCACGCGCAAGAUUAGCUAGUUGGUGAGGUAACGGCUCACCAAGGCGAUGAUCUUUAGGGGGCCUGAGAGGGUGAUCCCCCACACUGGUACUGAGACACGGACCAGACUCCUACGGGAGGCAGCAGUGAGGAAUAUUGGUCAAUGGGUGCAAGCCUGAACCAGCCAUCCCGCGUGAAGGACGACUGCGCUAGGGGUUGUAAACUUCUUUGGUAUAGGGAUAAACCGAUCCUCGUGAGGGUAGCUGAAGGUACUAUACGAAUAAGCACCGGCUAACUCCGUG